rnacentral:rRNA from 1 species
GAUGAACGCUGGCGGCGUGCUUAACACAUGCAAGUCGAACGAAGAGCGAUGGAAGCUUGCUUCUAUCAAUCUUAGUGGCGAACGGGUGAGUAACGCGUAAUCAACCUGCCCUUCAGAGGGGGACAACAGUUGGAAACGACUGCUAAUACCGCAUACGAUCUAAUCUCGGCAUCGAGGAUAGAUGAAAGGUGGCCUCUACAUGUAAGCUAUCACUGAAGGAGGGGAUUGCGUCUGAUUAGCUAGUUGGAGGGGUAACGGCCCACCAAGGCGAUGAUCAGUAGCCGGUCUGAGAGGAAGAACGGCCACAUUGGGACUGAGACACGGCCCAGACUCCUACGGGAGGCAGCAGUGGGGAAUCUUCCGCAAUGGACGAAAGGCUGACGGAGCAACGCCGCGUGAGUGAUGACGGCCUUCGGGUUGUAAAGCUCUGUUAAUCGGGACGAAAGGCCUUCUUGCGAAUAGUGGGAAGGAUUGACGGUACCGGAAUAGAAAGCCACGGCUAACUACGUG